CUUUUGCAAAGAGGGGUGGAGGUUGUUGUUGCUUUUUUUUUUCCUUUAUGAAUGGAGGGCGGCGGCGACUGCUGCAGCUGGUUCAGCUGCGCGGGCUGUACCCCCUCCCAGCCUGCGAGAGGAGGAAGCUAGUGGAGGACCUGCAACGACAAAACAAAAGAAUAAAGCAAGAGGAUAGACACCAUGGAAAUAACUACAUGGACCUCAGGUUUAAUGGCUGCUCCAGUGAUAUCUGCAUUAAUGAGGGGGAAAAGAAAAAGGAUCCCUCACUGAUGGAGAAAGAGUCCCCCUGGGUAGUGAAAGCUGGCCAAAGCACAUCUACCGACCUUCUCCAUUGGACGCAGUUACCUUUUGUUUUCAAGACCUGGGGCAGAGGUGUGAAGUAUUUCUCUGGGACCUGAACUGUGAUUAAAGGCACACACCUGCGAAGUGGUGAGACUGUGAUUGGAACCCAGGAAACCCGAGUGUACUGUCACCCUCACCACCCUGCUGACUGCUUGUGGCUGAAAAGCUUCCGGUAAAAGAGGACACUGGCAGUCAAAUAACAUGUGUGAACAGUGACCAGUUUUGGCAAAAGGGAGGCAACAGAAAUUCAAGAGCUGCUCUUCCCUGUGGCCACAAGGUGACUACCACAGCUUCACACUCAUCGCAUAUCCACCUCCAGUUUGGCUGUGGAGUAUGUCUACCCAAGCAGGAACUCCUACGCACAUCCUAAAAUCUGGUGGGCAGACCUCUAACUCCACAUCAAGGUUCUGGAAGAUGCAAGAGAUGCUCUUCUUUCCAUUGACUGAAAAUUGUUCCAAUGUCAAAGAAGCUGAAGUUCACCAGUUCUGUGAAGACCUAUAAGACCUUCUGGAACUAACAUCAAAAAAAGAGAUCCUUUCAUCAUAGGGUAUUGGAAAUCAAAAGUAGGAAAUCAAGAGAUACCUGGAGUAACAGGCAAGUUUGGCCUUGGAGUACAAAAUGAAAGAGGGCAAAGGCUAACAGUAUUGUCAGGAGAACACACUGGUCAUAGCAAACACCCUCUUCCAACGACCCAAGAGAUGACUCUACACAUGGACAUCACCAAAUGGUCAAUACAGAAGUCAGAUUAAUUAUAUUCUUUGCAGCUGAAGAUGGAGAAACUCUAUACAGUCAGAAAAAGAAGACCUGGAGUGGACUGUGGCUCAUAUCAUGAACUCCUUAUUGCAAAAUUCAGGCUUAAAUUGAAGAAAGUAGGGAAAACCACUGGGCAAUUCAGGUAUGACCUGAAUCAAAUCACUUAUGAUUAUACAGUAAAGGUGGUAAAUAGAUUCAAGGGACUAGAUCUGAUAGACAGAGUGCCUGAAGAACUGUGGUUGGAGGUUUGUAACAUUGUACAGGAGAUAGCAACCAAAACCAUCCCAAAGAAAGAAAUGCAAGAUGACAAAUUGGUUGUCUGAGGAGACCUUAAAAAUAACUGAGAAAAGAAGAGAAGUCAAAGGCAAAGGAGAAAGGGAAAGAUAUACCCAGGCUAAUGCAGAGUUCCAAGAAUAGCAAGGAGUGAUAAGAAAGCCUUCUUAAGUGAGCAAUGCAAAGAAAUAGAGGAAAACAAUAGACUGGGAAAGGCUAGAGAUCUCUUCAAGAAAAUUGGAGAUACCAAGGGACCAUUUUAUACUAGAAUGGGCACAAUAAAGGAGAGAAACAGCAAGGACCUAACAGAAGCAGAACAUAGUAAGAAGAGGUGGCAAGAAUACACAGAAGAACUAUACAAAAAGGUCUUAAUGACCCGGAUAACCAUGAUGGUGUGGUCACUCACCUAGAGCCAGACAUUUUGAAGUGUGAAGUCAAGUGGGCCUUAGGAAGCAUUACUACAAGCAAAGCUAGUGGAGAUGAUGGAAUUCCAGCUGAGCUACUUCAAAUCCUAAAAGAUGAUGCUAUGAAAGCGUUGCACUCCAUAUGUCUGCAAAUUUGGAAAACUCAGCAGUGGCCACAGGAUUGGAAAAGGUCAGUUUUCAUUCCAAUCCCAAAGAAGAGCAAUGCCAAAGAAUGUUCAAACCAUCAUGUAAUGUGCUUAUUUCACAUGCUAGCAGGGUAAUGCUUAAAAUCCUUCAAGCUAGGCUUCAAUGGUACAUGAACCGAAGGCUUCCAGAUAUAUCAAAGUAGUUUUAGAAAGGACGGAAACCAGAGAUCAAAUUUCCAAUAUCCACUGGAUCAUAGAAAAAGCAAGGGAGUUCCAGAAAAACAUCUACUUCUGUUUCAUUGGCUAUGCUAAAGCCUUUUGACUGUGUGGAUCGCAACGAACUGAGGAAAAUUCUUAAAAAGUUGGGAAUACCAGACCAUCUUACCUGCCUCCUGUGGAACUUAUAUGCAGGUCAAGAAGCAACAGUUAGAACUGGACAUAGAACAAUGAACUUGUUCCACAUUGGGAAAGGAGUACAUCAAGGCUGUAUUUUGUAGCCCUGCUUAUUUUACUUACAUGUGCAGUACCUCAUGUGAAGUGCCAGGCUGGAUGAAUCACAAACUGGAAUCAAGAUUGCUGGGAAAAAUAUCAACAAUCUCAAAUAUGCAGAUGAUACCACUCUCGUGGCAGAAAGUGAAGAGUAACUAAAGAACCUCUUGUUGAGGGUGAAAGAGGCAAGUGAAAAAGCUAGUUUAAAACUCAACAUUAAAAAAACUAAGAUCAUGGCAUCAGAAAACUAACUUCAUGGCAAAUAGAUGAGAAAAAGUGGAAACAGUGACUAAUUUUAUUUUCUUGGGCAGUUUCAUAAAGUUUCAUGAAAGUUACUUUGAUGACUGCAGCCAUGAAAUUAAAAAAUGCUUGAUCCUUGGAAGAAAAGCUAUGACAAACCUAGAUUGCAUAUUAAAAAGCAGAGACAUCACUUUGCCAACAGAGAUCCAUAUAAUCAAAGGUAUGGUUUUUCCAGUAGUCAUGUGCAGAUGUGUGAGUUGGACCAUAAAGAAGGCUGACUGCCUAAGAAUUGGUGCUUUUGAACUGUAGUGCUGGAGAAGAUUCUUGAGAGUCCCUUGAACUGUAAGAAGAUUGAACCAGUCAAUCCUAAAGGAAAUCAAUCCACAAUAUUCAUUAAAAAGACUGAUGCUAAAGCUGAAGCUCUAAUACUUUGGACACCUGAUAGAAAGAGCCUAGUCAUUGGAAAAUACUCUGAUGCUGGGAAAGAUGGAGGGCAGAGAAAAAGGGGUCGGCAGAGGGACAAGAGGGGGUGACAGAGGGAUGAGAUGGUUGGAGAUGGUUGGAUGGUAUCAUGGAUGGACAUGAGUUUGAGCAAAUUCUGGGAGAUAGUGAAGGUCAGGAAAGCCUGAGGUGCUUCAGUUUAUGGGAUCACAAAGAGUCAGACACAGCUUAGCAACUCAACAACAGCAAGUUAGUCAUGGUCCUUGGCCCUUGAGGGGGCAAAUUUCCUGCAUAUAUUUCCCUAAUGGAUCCCUGGAAAAGCACCAUUAUUGACUUAGGUUUCCAAACAAAAUGAAAAGAUGUAUUUCCUAUCAACCUUCAAAGUCUCGUAUCUGGUA